rnacentral:tRNA from 1 species
GCCGAAGUGGCGCAAUGGUAGCGUGUGGUCCUCCUAAGACUGAGGUUGCGAGUUCGAGCCUCGUCUUCGGCU